rnacentral:rRNA from 1 species
UACAGAGGUCCCAAGCCGUUGUUCGGAUUCACUGGGCCGUAAAGGGUGCGUAGGUGGCGUUGGUAAGUUCGAUGUGAAAUCCUCCGGGCUUAACCCGGAAAUGGCAUUGAACUACUAUUGAGCUGGAGGUUGGAGGGGGACUGGAAUUCUCGGUGUAGCAGUGAAAUGCGUAGAUAUCGAGAGGAACACCAGUGGCGAAGGCGAGUCCCUGGACAACACUGACACU